rnacentral:lncRNA from 1 species
AAUUAAACAAGUUUCCAUGUUUUAGGCUUCUUGACGUUUUUUGAUGUUCCACUUAACUGCAAUGGAAUAACUCGAUGGAACAAUUCAAGGCAGCUGUGCUCUGAUCCUCAGUUGCCCUCCAAGGAUAAGAUGACACAUUUGAUAAACACAUUUCCUUUAACACCAAGUUCUCCAGGUCAGGCAGGCAUAGCAUAUAGAUGAAACUGAUCUGAGCCUUCAUCCUGAGGGAGAAGAGGGUUAGAGAUGAAGGUAAACCUGGAUCCCGGUUUUAACCCUGCAACAUACUAGUCUCCUGAACUUGAGUAUUUGUAAGUACUGAAUCUGAGAUUAGCUUUGCCCAUGGCUUUCCACACAUUGAUAUUUGAUGGGACCUGACCCUUAAAUAAUCCCAAGUCAUAGAAAAAGAAUUUCGUGGAAUAGUCGCACAGAGCAUUUGCUUACUCAGUUCUGUUGCCCAGGAGCCCAAAUGGUAGAGGGAGGAGAAUGUGGAUUCUGGAAUUAGGAAGACUUGAGCUCGAUUUCACCUUCUACCAUUGAACAACUGCUGAGUAAUGGAUAAAGCUCACAAAAGAAGAGAAGGGACAUGCUUCACUCAGGUAGGCAAUAUUGCUUCUUUAACCCCAGGUGCAGCUAUAGAAGCUUCCAAGUAUAUUAAGGUAAGAAGGCAUUUGAGAAUGGAGUUUAUGCUGCAGGUACCCACGUCUUCCUGCAUACUCCGGAGACUAGAUUUGGGUUUGAAUCGAUUCUGUGGCUUUCUUUUACAAAUUUCACUCCAGCCUAACAUUGUCUCAACAUUGUCCUCGCCCACUACCAAUAAUUUCCACUUUAGUAACAACAUUCAACUAUUCUCGAGAAUAGCUGAGCCUCAAAUUGGGUAACACCACCUCAUAGUGUCAUAGAACUGAGAUCCCGUGACCCUACCAACCUAUAGGUGUGCAGUGCAUCAGCUGCUGCAACUUGUUACCCAACUGCUGCCUCUGGUCAAUUAACAAAAAUAAACUUCUUUCAUAAAGGCAACUUGUUGGCAAAGAUUUUCUUACUUAGUAAGUCUUUCCACCUCUGGUAUUAUAACAGAGAGGCCAAAACAAAAUUAAAAUUAAGAUUGUCAUCAGUAAGUUCUCAGGGUUAAGUACGUAUACCCCUUUUGAGUUAUCUUUAAAACAACUUAAGCCAAAUCUACCCUUAAAAAUCAUGGUUUGAAUUAAAUCUCAUGUCUCCCAACCUGCAAUCCAUGAUGAACAAGCUGAACUACAGCCUUAAACAACAGAGAAAUCCUUGGAACCAACAUUUAAUUAAAAAGACCAUUAGACGGUGCCUCAUUGGAAACACAGAACAUGC